rnacentral:tRNA from 1 species
GCAGUAUGAUAGUGCAUUUUCUCGCGCUCCUUCGUAAUUUCGACGGAGCUACCAGUAAUCCCUCCGAAGGCGGAGGCCACACGUUCGAAUCGUGUCGGGUGCGCCA